rnacentral:rRNA from 1 species
GAUGAACGCUGGCGGCGUGCCUAAUACAUGCAAGUCGAGCGAACAGAUGAGGAGCUUGCUCCUCUGACGUUAGCGGCGGACGGGUGAGUAACACGUGGAUAACCUACCUAUAAGACUGGGAUAACUUCGGGAAACCGGAGCUAAUACCGGAUAAUAUAUUGAACCGCAUGGUUCAAUAGUGAAAGACGGUUUUGCUGUCACUUAUAGAUGGAUCCGCGCCGCAUUAGCUAGUUGGUAAGGUAACGGCUUACCAAGGCGACGAUGCGUAGCCAACCUGAGAGGGUGAUCGGCCACACUGGAACUGAGACACGGUCCAGACUCCUACGGGAGGCAGCAGUAGGGAAUCUUCCGCAAUGGGCGAAAGCCUGACGGAGCAACGCCGCGUGAGUGAUGAAGGUCUUCGGAUCGUAAAACUCUGUUAUUAGGGAAGAACAAAUGUGUAAGUAACUAUGCACGUCUUGACGGUACCUAAUCAGAAAGCCACGGCUAACUACGUG